GUAAACAGUCACAUUAUGUGCUGUUUGAAUAGCAACUUGCAGAAUCUCUGGCAAAAGAAGUGCGGUCGAAUGGGUUCUCUUUUUUCCUAGUAUGCAAAGUAAUUUCAGACUGAUUUAGACACACACAAUACACUUGGCCUUCCAUUGAUAGCCGUACUUUGAACUUUGGUCAAUACGAAUGUCUGGCAGUGUAGUGCAGACUUUUUUGAGAGCUUUGCAAAAUUGGGAACAUACUAUUUGCCUUUCCUGCCCGUCGGCAGGGGAAGUUACAAUGGGCAGAAAAAAAAAGUGUGGAGGCAAGAUCACCCUUUAUUCCGUUCCAUUUGCCGGCAGAUUUCAAGGGAUCAUCUAUGUACAAUGUACGUGUGAAUUCAUAAGCACUCAAGCAUCGACUGGAAUAUGUAGACGCGGCUCUUGUUUGUUUUGCUCAACAUACAGUGAACAAGUACCUGCUUGACAACUUGGCUGCAAAGAGAUUUCAAGGGAUCAUCUACAUGUAUACGUGUGAAGCACUCAAGCAUCGACUGGAAUAUGUGUAGCUGACUCUUGUUUGUUUGGCUCAAACAUACAGUGAACAAGUACCUGCUUGACAACUCAGCUGCAAAGAGACAUCUGGAGUAGGUAAGGUGUGGAAAAUUGUUGAUGAAUCAAAAUGCACAGUGCGUGAAAACCGGCCGUUGCUAAUCCACAGAUGUCUGCCUGAAUCUGGGUACCAGAAAAGUCAACUGUGGUACGGAAACCACAAUGAUCAGUUAAAAAUCACACAACGGACCAAGAGUCAAUCGUCUGGGUCCUCCAGCUCCGUUCAUAAGAUCUACAGUGACUCCAAUUGCAUCAUGGUCAACGUCAUCAAAGUAUCCGUCAGUGAAGAGAGUUAGUACAAUGUAAAGCCUUAAAUAUUAUGUUGUGUAGGUGAUAAGGCCCAAAAAAAGUCACCGGUUUUUGGUACGGAGUUACCCCCAAAGUGGUGCGGCGACGCGUCCCCCCCCCUACUUUUUUCUUCUUCAAA